UACGUAGGGGGCAAGCGUUGUCCGGAAUCAUUGGGCGUAAAGCGCGCGUAGGCGGCCUCAUAAGUCCGUUGUGAAAGUCAAAGGCUCAACCUUUGAAAGCCGAUGGAUACUGUGAGGCUAGAGUCCGGAAGAGGCGAGUGGAAUUCCUGGUGUAGCGGUGGAAUGCGUAGAUAUCAGGAGGAACACCAAUAGCGAAGGCAGCUCGCUGGGACGGUACUGACGCUAAGGCGCGAAAGCGUGGGGAGCAAACAGG
rnacentral:rRNA from 1 species